GUGAAAGUUGAGUUAGUUAUGAUUUUUUAUAUAGUAUUAUAUAUCAUUUGAAUUUCUUGCAAUGCGAACAUGAUCUAAGCUGUUAGUUUUAUCCCACAAAUCACUUGAAUAUACUUUCGCAUUCACGAAAUGCUGCCUUCCCACAAUCCAUUUAUCUAUUAGUUACAUCUUCUGCCACAUUGUUUUAAAAUCUUUUUCCCAACGCCAGCUACCCGUAUCAAAUUACGCAUCUUCAGAAAGAUGUCUCCAGGUAGCCGAACAUUCAACCAUGUGCUAGCGAUCGAGUUACGCAGAAGCCCAAACUGAUCUUCCUGGGGCACGUGACUGGAUUGAAGACUAUUGAACCAAUGGGUUUGGGGAUUUGUUGCCUUGGUAAAUUGCGGACUCAAAAGGAUUUACCAUGGUCAUCGUCAGCUGCUGGCCCAUUUUCUUGGAAAAUCAAAGUCACAUACGUGUGAAGUACAAGAAUUACUUCAGGAACAGAUAAAUAUUGGUGUAGGUUAGGCUAUUGAGUUCUUACAAAUUUCAAGCGAUUUUGAAUUCCUAGAUAUAUAUAUUUGAAGUGUUGUUUUUGUUAAUAAGUAGUUGUACUGGUUAGGCGUUUUUUUUACCAAUUACCAAUGAAUAGCUGGCUGCUAUCAGGCUUAUGGUAAAUUCUUUGCAAUUAUAUAGGGCAGCACUUCAAUGGCAGAGGAAUACUUUAAGAAUCCUUUAAACAUAUUCCCGAAAUUGGCUUAAUUAUUGCACCUUUCAAAUCCACGUAUAUCAGCAGCUGCUGACAAUUACCACAAAAGACUGCGUCAGGGCAGAAAAACCUAUAACCGAUCCAUAUGGCCAUCCAUAUAAAUAAUUACUCGAGGACGAGGAGUCUUUGGAUGGCGACAGGUUUCUGCUCAGGUCGCUGGAAUAUGCCCAACAUCAGACGAUUCCGGCGGCAUGCCAACAGUUGCAGUAAAAAAAAUAUAUAAACCCAGUUUAUAAGAAACCCAUGGCGAAGGACCUGAAGCAGAUGAGGCUGAUGUGGCUGGUGAUUACCAUGUUGAUAUGCGGCGCGUGGCACUGAAGAUCAAUGUGUUUGCUUUGGAGCGGCAUGUGGCAGCUGUCCUUUUUCCCUUCUUCUCGAUUCCUUUUGCAGCCUUUGUUGUGCGGAGGAAGAAAUAGGAAGGUCAGAAGAAAGCAGCUGUACGGCUGGAACAGGUAAAACAACCCCUAUGGUUGUCCCCGUUUUUCGAGGGUAGUUUCCAACGUUUUCAACGUUUUCGAUCGCUUAGGGGUUGCUGCAGUUCCACAGUCUGCAGCUGUUCAAAUUUCGAAAAAAAAAAAACACUGCAAGACAGAUACAAGAUACAAAUGCUUGGGUAUCUGCAAGAUUCCCCUGGCUUGGCAGUUUCUUUGGGGUUGAAAUUUAAUCCUAAGCCAGGGCCAAUGACUUGCACACGAAAUCUGUACUGUCUGCUUCCCGAAAAAAUCCAAUCCUCAAGUGCUUCCGCUGCAGGAAGUGGAAAGGGAGCACCAGCUUCCGGUGGCUCCCAUUCUGAAGGAAAGAGCGCGCCUUUGGAGAUUCGCUAUGGAGGAGGAGGAGUAGAAAGCCGGCCCGAAGACUUCUACUACGACUGCAAUACCCCAACCAUCCAUAUUUAUGAAGUGACCGCGACGAGGAAGUAGGAAAUCACGUACUACGCACAUACGUGUACUGGAUUGGGGCCCAUUAGCUGCAGGAUGUUGUCGUCUCACUAGCCUGGCCAACUGGCGACGCCUACUUUUUAUCGGCCCAGACAGUCGUCAGUCAAUGGAUGGAAUUGCAGCGGCGAUCACAAGUAUUCGCUGGCAUCAAUGAAUGAAUGAAUGAGUGAAAUACGCGCCUCGCUUUUUUCCUUGAACUCGCAGUCCCAGAAACGGUGCUUCACAGACGCGUUGAUACUUUCAAUUAGCCAGGCCACAAUUAAUUAAGAGCAGCGAUUGUCUUCGCUCGAGGCUUUAAUGAUACCCUCCACCCCAAGAUAACUAAUUGCAUUAAAUGUUUAAACGAUAGACUUGUUGUUGGAAGCUAUCAAUACGCUUUAAGAGUAGGAAAUCAUUAAAUGAAUGUAUUACGGAAGGGCUUUCCGGCAAUCUUAACUAUGAACAAGGAUACAUAAAGAUAACACUUGUAAACAAGCCAGUAGCGAUGAAGAGCUAGAAAUGAUCCAUUUCCCAGGCCAUCCAAUCAUCAUCCAAUUUCGACACAAUAUUUUGCCAAAUAACAACCGAAGAUGAAAAGUUCAAACUUUCGGCGGUGGUCAUGAUGCGUUUGGAGUUUGCCGCUCCGCCGCAAAAGGUUCCCAAACGCCGAUUCCCGAACGGGCAAAACGAAGACCCUGGCACAUCCGAUCGACUGCAAACGAUCUGGCGGCUGCUGCAGUUGCAGGCAAAUUUUCGUUGGUUUGCCAAAAUGGAAAACCUGAUUUACCGUUCGGCGCGGAUCGGGGACGUCUUUGGAUUCGCCACCAGCGAGCGAAGCAAAACAUUUCCCACGCUGAGCACUGGGCAAAAAUCAAACACAAACUCCGUAGAGACAAUUCCCACGACUCCAAAUUUGUAUAUAUAGGAGAUAUAUAGUAAAUUUGCGGCUGCCGAACAUCGAAAACCUGUAACAAGCCGCGGUAAUUGCGAGAAGAGAGUGCGCAGUUCGCCGUUCGCCGUUCGGAUCUUCCCGAAUCUUUUGGCGAACUGGAGAAGAAGCUGCAGCAGCUGGGUGAUCGAGCGGGUGGAAAAUGUGAAAAUCAUGCAGGUGUCAUAAAACAAAACCUCGCUCCAAUGGAACAAAAAAAUAGGAAACCAAAUCCAGUGAGGCAAUGGCAAUCUGCGAUUGUGCGGCCAUCGUUAGGCGAAAUCAUUUUAACGAUCUGAUGAAGAUCUCCAAACAUUCAAAAUCCCAUUGAGCGCAGACAUCAUUAGAUUUCGAUUGGCACUCGUGAGUCGAGUUUGGCGAUCAUUAAAGGCAGAUUACGUUGAUGUCUGAAUGAAGGCUUACAUGGGGAUCCGAUGUGUAGCUAAGCAUCAACUUAUUGUAACGAUCGGUUCUAGCAAAUCACUACAAAGUUGAUUAGUUCGGUAGCAUUCAGGCUGUGGGAAGCCAUUGCAUCGCUUUAAAAUCAAGAUCUUUACAAUAAAAUAAACUGAGUAUACAAAGCAUUAUCUUGACUUAAACAACCAACCAUGGCUGACUGCAACAUUGUCUUAACCAGUUCCUGCCGCCACCCACUUGAGCUCCCUCCCCGUUUGCACCGAUUGAGGUCACAGGUCACGUGCUGCCCCGCCCCCUGCACCGUGCCUGUUGUUGUCAGCCCACGUGCGUGAGUCAGAAGACGUGUGCGGACAAUUAACACGCCCCAGGCCGUUUAAUUGCACCGGAAGUGCCCCAUAAAAGCCGGAGCUUUCGUUCAAACGCCGGCUUGGCAUGCCGAGUGGAUAUCAAUGGAUCAUUUAUACAAAUUGUAUCAAUUGGUCAAGCAUUUGGCAUAAAUUAUCGGCAUUUUGCAGCGCCGCAAUCAGUCAGAUCGAGUGGGUGAAUGAGCCGGAUUGAGUUGGACCUGAGCAUUUUGACUUCCACGGGCUUGUCAAUGGAUCGACCCACGCCGAUAAAUAACUUAUAAGCGUAUCUGGCCACUCCGCAUACAUUUUCCUUUUCGACAUAUCAGUGAAAUUAGUUGAGGAAACAGUGUGUGGGUCGUUUGUUAGUUAGUCAGCGGCUUAAUCUGUGGGCAGAAAAGCCAAGCGUUGGUCGCAGCUUAAGAGCGAAACAAGUGUCCAUCGAAUGGCUUGUAAAACAAUUCUCACAGCAAUAAAUGCAAUGCUAAAUUCUUGUCUUAAAUAUACGUAAAUGAGCCUAAUGAAUGUUAAUUAAUCGCUCGCAAACAAACAAUUUGCGUGGGGCGGUAAAAUAUGAAAGUUUUCCACACAACAAGUGAAAUUUUUGUUUCAAACCAUGUCGGCCUUUUUAAGUUUUCCCUUCUAACCACAAAAUUCCCAGCAUUUCAUUCCAAUCAAUUUUCCAGUUUGUUGUCUGAUUUAGUGCUAAAUGCACUUGGUAAAGAAGUUCGACUGAAUCGGAAAGCCCCAUUGAGUGGAUGCGAAAACCACUUCCGUUCUGCUUGAGCCGCUGACCAGUGCAGCGGAAAUUGCACUGCGAUCCACUCAUCGCGAGCUGCUGGAGCGGGAAACUCUCUCUUGUGGUGUGGAUUGCCCCACCGGUUUGCUCCCUCCUGGCAGAGCAUGUAACUCUAGAAGCUUAGCUAGAAUGGACACAACAUAGACUCUCUGCAAAUAUAAUAAAAAUAAUUACACAACGGAAAAAAGGGGCCGACUGGUGGCGGCGGCGGCUGGCAGCGUUGACAGCGAUGAAACCAGAGGUCAAACUAUGCCAAGUUGCUGCAACCAGUUGUUAUUGUGUCUGAGCAGCUUUACUUCUUCCCAAGUACAUUGCACUUUUCAUGCGAUUAAGCGAAAUCUGAUACUGCACGCCAUGUGAACUGAAAAUCAAAGAAAUCACAGCAGCAGCAACUCUAAGUACAACAUAUAUCAACCAUUUAGGAAAAGACUCUUCAACGAAACUAUCGAUAAUAUAGGAAAAAGUGACUAAUCAAUGAAAGUGCAUCAGGAAAUUUCCCACAGGAAGUUCGAAGUAAUCGAUUAUCAUAAAGAUAAUCGGGUAUAUUACAUUUGCACUUGCACAGUGAAGCCCCAAAAGGCUUAAGAAAUCCACCUAACAUAUUGAUCACACCUCUCCCAAUGGGUUCAAUGACUUCCAAUGACUUUUCUACCCGUUCGGCAUACAUUUUCCGGCUUUCCACGCACACACAAAUUAGUUAUAAACACCCGGAUGAGAAGGCGCAGCUCCCCUUCUAAUAUAAUUAGCCACCGAAAGGGAGAGAUAUAGAGAGAGAGAGAGAGACGGAGAAGCGCUGAAGGGUGGGUGGCCAAAUCAAAUUUACAUGUUUAUUUUUACAAGCCUACGGAAAGCAACUCGGUGGAAUGGGAGCACCUCUCUAUCGAUGCACAUGAUAUAUCCGCGUAUAUGUAUAUAGUAUAAAUAUCUAUGGUUUGGUUUUUUUUUUAUUAUUUGGGCGCUGAAGCAUGCAGGAGGCCCCAGCCAAGAAGAACUCAACUUUUUCAGACCCGAAUAGACAUAAAACCGAUCUAAAUAUACACGCGUAGAUAUAAGGAAGCAAAGGGGAACCAUAAAACACACAAUAAACAACAUUGUCUUUUAAAGUGUUGAGUAGAAGAUUGCAGAAUAUGUUGUAUGAAAGAUACAUACAUAUAUGAAAUGCUUAUAAGUUUGAUUUCUCUUUAGUUGAAGCAACUUAAUUAUUAAGGAAGCAAUUAAUACCGCGCUUCGUUGCUGUACUGUACUUUCGAGAGCUCAGAUACGAUAAGCGCGGCUUUCUUCCGCUACGUUUUGUUGCGCUUUGUAGGCUUGCUGUUUAUCGAAGCGUUGCAAUUACUGCAAAGGGCCAGUGGAGGGGUCCACAUAAAUGUACAUACACACAUACAUAUAUACGAGUACAAUAUAGAAAAGUUGAUAGUUACUCCUAUACAACUUGCAUUUCCUCGCACUUGACUGCACAAGACACCCACCCCCCGAUGCUCUACAGUCUGCCAACUCUUUGUGUAAUUAAAUCACUCGAGCGUUGAGGGGGAGCCCACAAUAACAGCUUGAAGUGGAAUGGAAUGGACUCGAAGCGUCGUCUUGUGAUAGGAACACAUCAUUAUUACAUUAUAACGCUGUUAUUACAAUGCCUGGCACAGACAAUUCAAGUGUUUUGAACUCCGGAAUUCGAUAGUUUUUGAUGCCACCGGUUGCAUUGUUAUCGGCCAUCCCAUUAAAACUUAGUGUUAUAGCCAAACCAUGCAAAUUUCGAAGAUUUUAACAUAUUAAAUACCCCGAACAGCUGCAAAGCUGUAGCCAAUCUAGUUCUGGUUCCUCCCCAAAUAGGUGUACAUAUUAAUUACAUUAAAGUUCUGCCCGAAUUUCAGACCACAAAAGUGCUAAAGGCCAAAAACCGAAAUCCAAAAACUCGAUCUGGCCAAGUUGCCAGCGAUGGAUAGCCGAACAGCUGCUGCUGCUGGACAUAGAGGCAUAGAUUAAAGACCCGUAGGUGUUCGAACCGAGUAGAUACAUAUAGCGACGGUGAUUUAUGCCUAGCAACCAGCAGAUCGCCCGCCCUAACCCGUCUGGAAAACACGCCCUCCCGAAAGGCCUACAAAAUUGACCCAAAGAUGCCUUUGGAUAUCUUUUCGUUUCACUUUGCGUGAGUUAAUUGCAGCUGAUUUCUGGGCCAGGUAUACUAUGUAUUACUAUAUAUUAUAUGUGGCUAUAUUUCUACCUGUAGCUACCUGAACUCCACCUUUUGUCUUGCGUCAGUUGCAACACCCUGCGGUGUAGCGUAUCUACUUAGACUUUUCUUUAUCUAUGGGGUGGUGUGCGUUUUUAUCUUUGCGCACAGACAAAAUAAUGUUAACAAUUUGGUACUACACAUUUGGGUCGUGAAGAGAACUAAGGCGAUACAGACAGUGGUUAUAAUAUACUUUUCAUGUUCACAUUUUCUUUCAGUUAUACACUUUUUUUAUUCACUAGCUUAGAAUUGCAAUGUGAGAUAUAUCGCAAAGAUUUGUUAACCGAUGUUCACUGUACUCGUCUUCAAGCUGCCAACUUAGUUCAAUAACAGAUAAGCGAAAGAUGUGGGAGGCACUAAAUAGGUCACGAGAUAGCUAGAAAAAAGCAUCGCAAAGAUCUUUGUGUAUAUCCCCCAUCGUUAACAACUGGUAUUUAUAGCUAAUCAGUUUUUAACAACACUUGUAGAGAUAACAUUUCGCUCUGUUCGUUAUCAAAGCGCGACAAUAAGCAAUGCUUCAUAUCAGCUUGCAAAACUAUAGCCAAUUUUUAGAAUGACCAUAGGAUGUAUGACACAUCGAGAUGAUGACCUCAUGAGGGGGAGAAAAAUAAGUUAAAAAAUAACGAAGGGGAUGCAUGAAAGUGGGAAAAUAUAGCAACAGAUGUCUGUAGCGAAAAUGCUCAACAUACAACUGUGCUCAACAGAAAAGUGCUUACUGGGAGAAAGCAACAAUAAAAUAUUAAUAUUAAAGCAUUAAAUGCCUCUUAAACAUUAAGUUUACAGAAAUUGGUUUUUAAGCGGCGACUGAUUUUGAAUUUAUCAGAAUACCUUUUUAGGUAUCAGAAGUUAAUGCAUAUUUAUUAUGACCACCAUUGUACUUAGAUAUGUACUUAUAUACAUGUGUACCAACUUCCUACGGGGGUGUGUACCGCCAUUAACGAUUGAAUAUUUACUUUUGGCCAACAAUCGAAGGUCGGGCGACAAUUUGUAUUUGUGUGUCCCAUAAUCGGGGGCUCAAAGACGAGUUGGCAGCGCUCAGUUGCAAGCACACGCACGGCCAAGCAAACCAUUUCGAAAAGUAAACCGUGAGAAGCUAAGUAAAAGCCAAGAGCAGAUAAACUUUUUAGCCAAAGCAAACGUGGCAUGCCAACACACAAUAAUAACAACAAUAACAACCAACAAGCUACGAAAUGUAAUAGAAAAUGCAGGUACAAAAAA
rnacentral:sRNA from 1 species